rnacentral:lncRNA from 1 species
UUUUUUUUUUUAUUUUUUUUUUUAUUUUCCCACUGUACAGCAAGGGGGUCAGGUUAUCCUUAGAUGUAUACAUUGCAGUUACAGUUUUUUCCCCCACCCUUUCUUCUGUUGCGACAUGAGUAUCUAGUUUAUUACAGUUUUUAAGAAGCAUAUGUAAAAGUGAAGACUAAAACAUUUUAUUUUUGUUAAUGGUACUUGAUUUUUAAAGUGUUAAAACAAUUAAAACGGUAAAUUAUGGAGUUCUUGUCAUGGUUCAGUGGUUAACGAAUCUGACUGGCAUCCAUGAGGAUGCAGGUUUGAUCCCUGGCCUCACUCACUGGGUUAAGGAUCUGGCGCUGUCAUGAGCUGUGGUGUAGGUCGCAGACUCGGCUCAGAUCUGGCAUUGCUGUGGCUCUGGAGUAGGCUGGAGGCCACAGCUCUGAUGAGACCCCCUAGCCUGAGAACCUCCAUAUGCCGCAGGAGCAACCCUAGAAAAGACAACAACAACAAAAAAAGGUGUAUUACUUAGAAGAUAUAAUACUCAAUAUGAAACCAAAGCAGCAAAUUAAAGAUAAUAGAAAACAUCAUUCUGAAAAGUCACAAGAAAAUGUAUGAUAAAGCUGUCCAACAAAGUGUUUCUUCAGACUAGGAAUUUUUGUCCUUUGUAUCAAUUAAGUAUCCCAGAUGCCCAAAAUAGUGCCUGAUAUUAGUAAGAAUUCAGUCGAUGUUUGCUCAAUGAUCAUAUAAAUGAGGAGAGCAGCUCCCAUAGCCUGACUGAUCCAGGCAGGAGAGGAAACACAGGAGCACAGAAGGAAUGCAAAAACCAAGCAAGGAUACACCCAGGUCAAAGUUAUAUGAGUUAAUAAAACUAGGGCUUUGCUGACGCUGAAUGUCAUUAUCAGAUAAUUUCAGUUACUUAAGCUAUUUUUUUACUUGUCAUAGUCAUGGGAAUUUCUUCAACCACUAGGCUCAAGCUGAUUCAUGAAUGGUUCAGAAUAAACUUCAGCUCCUGGUAUGAUUCUGCAUAUUCGCCUGGAUGGAGCAUGGAGUAGACACUCUGGAGAUAUUGGCUUUUAUAGGAUUUAGUGACCCAUUUACUACUUCCACUUUUCAGCCCUGAUCUCUUGUGCCACUGCUCACAGAGAAAGAAAAUCUGUUUCCUGCCUUUUUCUUUGAAAUGUCACAUUGGUGGCAUCCCCUGGCAGUGACACGUUUAGAAAGGUUUGCUUAGGGUCAUAUGCUUGCUAGUGGUGCUUCUGGAAGUGAACAGAUGAAGCAAAUGCAGGAUUAGCAACUUGCCAUUGGAAACUUUUUGAGAUUUCUACUCAGCAAUAUUACAAAGUUUGCAAAUCCCAAUCCCCUCAAGUGAAUAGAAAAGUUUCCCUUGAGGGGCACAAAAUACUGUCAGGUCAUAAAGACAACCCUAAAGAAUGAGCUUGGGAGUUCCCACUGUGGCACAGUGGGUUAAUAAUCUGACUGUAGGAGUUCCUGUCAUGGCGCAGUGGUUAACAAAUCUGACUAGGAACCAUGAGGUUGCAGGUUCGAUCCCUGGCCUUGCUCAGUGGGUCAAGGAUCUGGCAUUGCUGUGAGGUGUGGUAUAGGUUGCAGAUGCGGCUCGGAUCUUGCAUUGCUGUGGCUCUGGCGUAGGACGGUGGCUACAGCUUCGAUUCAACCCCUAGCCUGGGAACCUCCAUAUGCCAUGGGAGCGGCCCAAGAAAUGGCAAAAAGACAAAAAAAAAAAAAAAAAAAAAAAAAGAAUCUAACUGCAGUGGCUCAGGUCACUGAGGAGGCAUGGGUUUGAUCUCUGGUCCAGUGUAGUGGGUUAAAGGAUUUGGCAUUUAACCAGCUGUGGCUCGGAUUCAAGCCCUGGACCAGGAACUUCCAUAUGCCUUAGGUGUGGCCAUUAAAAAAAAAAAAUGAAUGAGCUUGAAUAUCAAACUCUAGGCACUGUGAUAUCUUGAAUUUGGCAUUUGAGAAACUUUAAACUCACUUCUUCAGUUCCACACUCUGCUUUCCUGAGAGACAAUGUGAUACAACUAAAUAGUAAUUAAAUAGUAAUUAAAUAGUAAUUAAAGAUAUUAAGAAGAAAGUACUCUGCUGAAUUGUGGUUCUUGAGAAACAUUAGGGAUGAUCAAUCCUCAAGAUUUAUCUUUAUUUACCUAUUGCAGGACCAAUGACACAAUAAGCAAUAGGUUGUAGGGCUAUGGCAGGGGAAAAAAUUGUCUCCAACAGAGCACAUGGUCAUCAUGGGAGAAAAUUUUGUCUUUUUGUUCCCUAGUUUAUCCUCACGUCUUAGAAUGAUAUCAACACAAAACAUGCAUAUAUUGAAAUAUAAAGAAUUGUAUCGAUGUGACCUCUCUAAUAAAUGAGGGUAAAGACAACGAGCCGCUUUGGUUACUCUUGUCCACAGGUUCCAUGCUUUAUGCAGACUCACUGAUCACAGCACUCAGGGUGCAGUUCCAUGAGGCAUCCACUGACUCUCAACCCAGGACAGCCAUUUGUGGUUUGUCACUGAUUGUCCCUCUCUGCACUCUCCCUUUUGCAGUCAGGCAAACAUAUUUAUAAUUCCUUUCAUCAAUUACUUACGAUGCAGAACGCUUGCUUGAUGAGCACAGAAUUCAUCACUGCAUCCCCAGUGCUUAGCCUAAUGCCUAACAUACAGAGCUCUCAAUAAAUAUUCACCAAAAAGACAAAUCAAAUGAAUCCUAUGUCUACCCUAGGCUCAUUUCUCUAUGACAGUCACAAAUUUGGCCAGUAUUAGUUGAAAAUGUAGUGUUUACAAGCGCAGUGUUUGCCAGAUGCUAAAGGCAGUCUAUUAAAGAUGUGAUUGGAACACCCUGGGGACAAUCUGAGGGAGAAAGCAGAUGUAGUUGACAAUCACGUAAGGUGAAAAUAUGAGGCUGUGUAUAUGAUUGUAUCAGAAUGAGUGAUGCAGAGGAAAAUAGCUAUAAAAGAACUAAACUAAGGAAGAAUUAAAACAUGUGGGUUAGGAGAAUAACACAAUGAUGAGGGAGAUAAUUUGAACUGUUUUUCAGACAGUGUAUGAAUUUGCUUAUGGGGAAGAGAAGGGCAUCGCAUUAGUAACCUGUUAGGUUAGCAUUAUAUUUUCUUUAGUUCACUGUGUCUCAGGCACACUCUUUCCUUCAGGUUCUCACCUGAGGACCUUUAUUGUAUGUACUUUCAUUUGCCUGGAAAUUCUUCCCUCUGCUUCCCUCUCUUCUUUUCCCACAGCUAUCUUUCAGCUCUCAGUUGAAAAGAAAAUCUUUUUUUUGGACAACUUUCUGUUGGUCUCCAACCUUCACUCAGUUAAAGAUGAUUAACCUUUUCCCAGAUUAAGCCAGUUUCUCCUACAAAUCACUUUCAUAGCAUUUCAUAAGUUCUCUUUGGUAAUAUUUACUGUGCUAUUAAUUAAAUAAAAGUCUAAUUGAAUGCAAACUCAUGCUAGGAGAGACUGUGUGUUUUAAAUUUCCAACAACUCCAAUAUUUAAAUAAAGGACAUUCUUUAAAUCCUUAUUAAAUUACUGAAUGAAUAUAGAUGCUCACAAUAGAGCGUAGGUCUGAAGAUGCCAGGUUUGAUUCAUAUGAAACCCAUAUGUUCUAGGAUGACAUUUGAGAGCUCCAAUUUUCACGACGGAAAUCUUGGGCUUUUGGGCCCCCCUGGAUAAUGAAGAUAAUGAGAGUUGAGAAUUCAAGUAGCCAACUAAUAAUCCUUGCUAACAAUUUAUAAAAAAGAAAGUAAAGAUAAGGGGGUAAAAAAACUGAGUGCCAGAAUUUAAAUAAGGAAGUUGAGAGUUCCUGAUGUGGUGCAGUUGGUUAAGAAUCUGACUGCGGCUGCUCAGGUCGAGGUGUAGGCACAGGUUCAAUACCCAUCCCAGCACAGUGGCUUAAAGGAUCAGGAAUCGCAGCAGCUGUGGCUGAGGUUGCAGCUGUGGCUUGGAUUCAAUCCCUGGCCCAGGGGCUUCCAUAUGCCGUGAGUGCACAUAUGACAUGCAUACAGAGGAAAGUUGAAGGGCAAGCCAGAGUCACAGUAGCUUCCUAAAGUCUACUCUCUAUUCCCAUGCACUCUGUGCUCUAGACAUUAUGGUCAUGAGAAACUUCAAGGAUACACUUACACUUUCAUGAUUCCAUGCAUUUGCACUCAUUCAUUUUGAGGUACCUUUCCACCUCUGUUUUCUACCUCUGGACUUGGUGGUAAAUAUUGAAAUACUCUCCUUUAUUACGCAUUACAAUAAUACAAGAUUCAUGAGAGAAUAACAUACUAAGUCAUUUGCUGUUGUAUAUCCAAUAUCUCUCGUAGUAUCUGGGUCAUUGUAAGUGUCCUAAAAUGUCUAUGAAAUGAAUGAUUAGGUGUAAAAAGUGGAAAUUUUUAAUUUUUCACUUUUAAGAAAUGGUUUAGUUUAUUCAAAAGGGCUUUUAGGAUUAUUAAACUAUCAUGUUUAAAGAUAAUUAUUCUAAAAGAAUACUCAUAUCUGUAAAAAGGGGAUAGUAAGUUUUGGAAAGCUGUUCAUUUUAAAGAGAGCUCCUCCUUCCUCCUGAAAUUUUACUAGGCAGUUCUAAUUAUGAUCAAAGCAAUAAAAAUUAUAAUAAAGCAUUCAAUAUAUAAAGAAAUAAUUUUUGAAAACCAAUUUCAAAAGCUGUAAAAACACUUAUUCCAAUACAUUCAUUCAUAAAUUUAUAUCAAGAAUCAGUCAUUAGUGAAACUAAAAUGCAUAGAAUUGGAUGAAAUAUAAUCUUUGUUGGGGACCAUGGUUAUCUUCAAAUUAUUCAGUGAUCCAUUCUUAGGUCUUUAUCUUAAGGAAUUAAUCAAAUAACUGUAGAAAGCAUAUACUAGAGGAUAUUUAUUUUAGUAUUAUUUAUCAAGUAAAUUUAUGAACAAAACUUUAGGAGAAUGCUCUUCUAAUACUGUAUAACCUCAUUGAAGAUCAUUAUAGAGCUAUUAAUAUAUGUCACUCAAAAUAUUUAUAAAUAUAAACAUAAAAUUUUGUGAGAUUGUAUCUUAGUAAAAUAUAUUUGUAUUUAUGAUAGAAGACUAUAAAGUGCUAAGUUAGAAUAUAAAUUAGCACUCAUGUCAGGAUGUUACAAAUUGAAGCUAAUAUGAAAGAUUUUGCAUCUGUUAAAAUAUUUAUGACCUAAUAAAAUAGUCUGAUUAAUAAAAUUCAGUGAUAGAUACAUAUUAAAGACUCAAAGAUUAGUAUUCUCUGAUUUUACAGAAAUUGAUCUGUCUAGUAAUCUCAACAUGGUUUAAUGAAAAUAUUGAGAUUUCAGGCCAUCCUUUAAUUUUCCAGUGAGGUAUUCUUUCAGCUUUCGUAAAAUUAUUUGCAAAAUAACUUUAGAUCCAAAAUGUUUGAGUCAUUUGAACAGACAGUAUUAGCUUAGAUAUAGUUGUUUGGUAGCCAGAAAAAUGGUUGCCAAAAUAUGUCCACUUCCUAAUCUUUGAAAUUUGUGUUAUUUUUCAGGACAAGAGAAAUUCUGCAGAUGUGAUUAAUAUAAAGAUCUUGAGAUGGGGAGGUUAUGCAUUUACAUAUUAAUGUAAAGAUCUUGAGAUGGGGAGGUUAUAUCCAAAUGAGUAUAAAAGUAAUUAUAAGCUAGAAAAGACAAGGGAAUGGAUUCUCAUCUUGAACUUUCAGAAGAAAUGCAGAUCUGUUGAUAUAUGCAUUUUAGGCCCAGGAAAGUUAUUUUAGACUUUUGAUUUCUGCAACUCUAAGAUAAUAUAUUUUUUAAAUUUUUUGAGCCAUUAAGUUUGUGGUAAUUUAUUAUAGCUUGAAUAAGAAAUUAACAUAGUUAUAAAUAACUGAAUGUGUUUAGGUUUUGGAAAAUAUUAAAUUAGAUUUCAGUUAUUUAUAAAAAAUAAGUUUUAUAAGUGUGGUAGUCAAUAUUGCCAUUCAUCAUAUAUUUCCAACUCUCAUCCUACAGAGUACAUAUAGGCAUUGCCUAUUCUUUUUCUCCUUUGAAGUUAGACAAAGCCACAUUAUUUGCCUAGGUCAUUAAAAUAUGGAAAUACUGGCAUAAUUGAUGUGUGUAAUUUCUAUAUGAAUCUUUAGACACCAGGUCAUGAUUUGCUGCAUUCUUUCCUCCCUUUCUAAGUGAUUGCUGAGGCACAGAUUAAGAUGGACUUCCAUCAGCUCACAUUUGGCCAAUGCUUUGUACCUAUAUCACAUGAGCAGGAAGUAGACUUUUAG